CGAACGCUGGCGGCGUGCUUAACACAUGCAAGUCGAGCGGUAAGGCCUUUCGGGGUACACGAGCGGCGAACGGGUGAGCAACACGUGGGUGAUCUGCCCUGCACUUCGGGAUAAGCCUGGGAAACUGGGUCUAAUACCGGAUAUGACCUCCUAUCGCAUGGUGGGUGGUGGAAAGAUUUAUCGGUGCAGGAUGGGCCCGCGGCCUAUCAGCUUGUUGGUGGGGUAAUGGCCUACCAAGGCGACGACGGGUAGCCGACCUGAGAGGGUGACCGGCCACACUGGGACUGAGACACGGCCCAGACUCCUACGGGAGGCAGCAGUGGGGAAUAUUGCACAAUGGGCGAAAGCCUGAUGCAGCGACGCCGCGUGAGGGAUGACGGCCUUCGGUUGUAACCGUACUUUCUAGCAGGACGAAGCGCAACGUGACGGUACCGUGCAGAAGAAGCACCGCUAACUACGUGCCAGCAG
rnacentral:rRNA from 1 species